rnacentral:rRNA from 1 species
UUGGAGGGCAAGUCUGGUGCCUGCAGCCGCGGUAAUUCCAGCUCCAAUAGCGUAUAUUAAAGUUGUUGAGGUUAAAAAGCUCGUAGUUGAACCUUGGGCCUAGCCGGCCGGUCCGCCUCACCGCGUGCACUGGCUCGGCUGGGUCUUUCCUUCUGGAGAACCGCAUGCCCUUCACUGGGUGUGCCGGGGAACCAGGACUUUUACUCUGAACAAAUUAGAUCGCUUAAAGAAGGCCUAUGCUCGAAUACAUUAGCAUGGAAUAAUAGAAUAGG